UAGNGGCGAACGGGUGAGUAACACGUGGGCAAUCUGCCCUUCACUCUGGGACAAGCCCUGGAAACGGGGUCUAAUACCGGAUAACACUGCGGAUCGCAUGGUCUGCGGUUAAAAGCUCCGGCGGUGAAGGAUGAGCCCGCGGCCUAUCAGCUUGUUGGUGAGGUAGUGGCUCACCAAGGCGACGACGGGUAGCCGGCCUGAGAGGGCGACCGGCCACACUGGGACUGAGACACGGCCCAGACUCCUACGGGAGGCAGCAGUGGGGAAUAUUGCACAAUGGGCGAAAGCCUGAUGCAGCGACGCCGCGUGAGGGAUGACGGCCUUCGGGUUGUAAACCUCUUUCAGCAGGGAAGAAGCGAAAGUGACGGUACCUGCAGAAGAAGCGCCGGCUAACUACGUGCCAGCAGCCGCGGUAAUACGUAGGGCGCAAGCGUUGUCCGGAAUUAUUGGGCGUAAAGAGCUCGUAGGCGGCUUGUCACGUCGAUUGUGAAAGCCCGAGGCUUAACCUCGGGUCUGCAGUCGAUACGGGCUAGCUAGAGUGUGGUAGGGGAGAUCGGAAUUCCU
rnacentral:rRNA from 1 species